CGCGCCCCAGAAGUUUCUGUACAGAAGUUUUGGAGGUUUCGUUUAGAAGUCCUAUCUGGAAGCGCGGAGUCUUCAGGGCAACCUGAUUUUUGGCAGUCAGGGAAAGCCAGCAGCCUCCCUGUGACCCAUCGUGGGGAAACGUGUCUGAGGGAGCCAAAUACUGGACCGUUUUGGUUCAGCCUCUGACGUUUUCAGUCCUCCGGGCCCUGUGAGACUUGGGAUCCAUCUGACAUGCCCAACAGGCCUUGAUUUUAAGGCCGUGGAAGAGCCUCAGAGCCGGGUUCCAGAACAUCUCCUCUUUGGGAGUGGAGUGGAAACACUGAAGAUGCAGCCAGCUCAGUGCCCGGUUUCCUUCGAGGAGGUGGCCGUGCGUUUCACGAAGGCCGAGUGGG